CAAAUGAUCCACCUGCCUUGGCCUCUCGAAGUGCUGGGAUUGCAGGCAUGAGCCACCACGCCUGGCCUUCCUGGGACACCUUUACAGUGGGAAGCAAACAUUCACCAGAGCUGGGAGAAAAAAGCAUGCAAGAAUUGGAAUGAAGAGAUGCACUGGGCUGCUUCUGGACAAGCUGUCUGUCUAGGCAAGAGUCAGCAAAGUGGAUUGCCUUGCAUCAUGGCCAGGGUGUGUGCAUUCAACUUUGGCAGUCUUGGCCUGAGUGACAGAAUACUGGAAGGUCCUAAUAAGCUUCUCCAAUGAGCAUAGGCAGUGAUGGAACCAAACCAUCAAAAUGAGCUCUUCAAAGAAGAACCCAGGUUUUCCUCUUCAGCUGCAUAUGAUCAAUUCUAAUUAAAUGGUAAAGGAAAGAAGAAUAGAAGGAAAGAAUUCUUGAAAAUCUGUCAUUCAAGAAUUUAUAGAUCAUCUUAACUCUGAGAUAAAGUGAAAAAAAGAGCUCAUGUUCCAGCAGAUGAGAAAGACAUGGAAACAGUCAUUGCAAGACACUGACAGGAGCCACAAACCAGGAUACCAGGCAUCUAAUAGGAAGGCUGGGCCCAUUCAGUCCAGAUUUAUAACAACUCCUCAAGGAAUCUGUGAAACCAACUGCAAGUACUUGUUGAGACUAAGCCAACAUUCUUUGCAGUAAGAACCAGAGAAAUUUUAUUCUCUGUGCUUAACAACAAAGGACUUCAAGAAUUGCUUCUGUCUCUCCUUCAUGAGAAAAGUGGCUGGCAAUCACUCUUAACCUGUCUAGUUGAAGGCAUAGCUCUGGUCUGAUCUAGGUCACCAUUGGGCUUCCUGUGCUGUCAUCUGCUGCCUCUUGCCGCAGAUUCCUGGUGGUAUGUCUCAGCCUUUGCAUGAAACACAACCAUGAAACACUAAGUGCCAAUCAUUUCCUAUAAACUGCUUUGAUUUCCUCCAUGAAGCUCUUUUAAAAAAUCUGGUAUUGUGGUAUUUAUAGCUUCCUGUUUCUGCCACCUACAUAUUCUGAUGGUUGUUGUGCUUUCUCUUUGGAGAUAGAUAAACAUUCACAGCACCAAAGGGAGUAAGGGCUUUGUACCUUUUUUCAUGGAAAGAGUUAGUCAUAUUUAGAUUGAAGUUAUAGCUUAAAAAGGAGCCCUCGUUGUAUAGAAACAUGGAUGCCAUGACACCUCCAGUGCAAUAUUUUUAAGCCUCUCCCUGCCAUUGGUCACUUACAUAGUACUGUUAAAUCACUCUGUGGAAUAUUGUUUCUAUC
rnacentral:lncRNA from 1 species